rnacentral:lncRNA from 1 species
AUGUUUUGUUUGGCAAGAACCAUUUCUUUGAACAAUUUCUUAUUAAUCAUCUAUAAUUUUUCACUUCUGACAGUGUUAUCACCAGUGCUUUCAGUAACUGCAUAUUUAUACAACAGCCAAACUUCAACCUGUAUUCAGUUUUUAUCUGUCUCCUGGGAAUGUAAUUUGGAAAAAAAGUUACCAAUGUAUUUACAACCAAAUUUCAGAUCUUCAACAUUACAGAAGAGUAAGAGAUUGCAGAUUGCUUCUGUGGACUUAUUGAAGGUGGAUCUGGCUGUUGGUGGAGAUCCCUAGACUGCAUGAGGCCAUGGGCAUGAUCUGGAGACACAGCAGGUGAGUCCAACAUGUCAAGGGCAGAUGACAAUGAACAGAAAAAGCUGGUCUUGCUACUUUCUCAGUAACAGUGACUAGCAGUGUGUAUGAGGAGAUCAAAAUUCUAAAGGUUCCCACAAAUUUCUCAGUUUCCUAUUUAGGGCUUCAGGUCUUUGCAGAUAAUCUUCCAGAUAUGGUCUUUGUCUGUUUUCCUUAUUUUUCUGUAAACUGGU